rnacentral:sRNA from 1 species
CCAUCUCACCUGGCUCCAGAUUCCUGUACCCCCCCCCAGGGGACGAUGGCAAGGGAGACACGCCACCCUCGCCCCUUUGCCCUCCAGUGGCAGAAGAUGCCCUUGAUCUUCUUCGAAGCCUCAUCCAUGUUUUUCUGGAAUCAGGCCACCAGGACAUUGGAUACAGACUGUUGGACAGAAUGAAUCUGAACCCCAUGACCACCACCCUGGAUGUCCAACCAGCUCCAGUAACUUGUAUUUCGAUGUGUGGCUCCAUCACCACCAGGGGGCGCCGUUCAUCUUGAUAAAGCUGUUUGCAGUUUGCAUUGUACCCUGACUGUGCUGUCUUCUGGAGAUCCGCGUGCAUAGCCUGACCCCAACAGCAGACCCGAGUCCCUCACCCCAUGCAGCUGCCAUUGGGAGUUUAAGCUAAAUGCCAACAUGACUGGAUUUACAGUCACCGUGGAGACACAUGGGUGUACCUAUGAGGGUGUUUCCAGAAAGGUUUAAGUCAAGAGGAAUGACCUGCUCUAAAUAUGGGCUGGGCUCCCCGGUUGAAUAAAAGGAUCUUGGAGGAA